rnacentral:lncRNA from 1 species
ACAGUCAGCAGGAGUCGAGCAGGGGAGGCGGCUGUCUCCUUGGUCUUCCUGCUGCACCGGGUUCUUUGAAAAUCAGCUCCUGACUGCAUGUUGCGGAUUCCAGGCCCAGCCCCCUUACCUGGAAGGCUCACCUUGAAAGACGGCAGGAUGAGACCAGGAAACGGGGCCACAGGCAUACCAAGGAAGCUUAUUUUGCCUGGCUUCCCUUUUUAAGCACGGAUGCAUACCGGUGUGUUGGACAUGACUGAUGAACCAAGAUUUGAGGAAGGCCACCCACUGAGUGACUGGAGGUAGACGUGGAAGGCUUUGGUUGCCAUAGGCAACUUGGGGCCAGAAAGACCUGGAUUCAAAUUCUGGCACUUAUCAAAGGGAUAAAGUGGGACAAACAAUUUUACCUUGCUGGGCCUCAGUCUCCUCAUCUGUAAAAUACGGAUAAUCCCCCCUUGGUAGAUUGGGAUGAGGA